GUGAUUCAUGACUGGGGUGAAGUCGUAACAAGGUAGCCCUAGGGGAACCUGGGGCUGGAUCACCUCCUUAUACGA
rnacentral:rRNA from 3 species